rnacentral:rRNA from 1 species
UCGCUCCCCUAUCAAUUCGUUGGUUAGGUAGAUGUCCGUGGGUUCUACCACUAGUUUGUAAGAGGCAUAUGAGUGGUGUUUUAGUUGUAUGUAUUGGCAAGCUCCGUGUUGUUUGCAUCAAACUGUCGAGCCACACUCCACUUCAUUACCUCCCCUUACUGUCAUUGAAUUCAAGGGGUGUGAUCGGGAUCCUGUGUUGCGUACCUUAGUAGAUGGAAAUAUGUACGAACAAGUCGGGUUGCUUGGGAAUGCAUCCCUAAUCGUGUGGUAAAUUCCGUCCAAGGCUAAAUACGAGCGAGAGAUUGAUAACGAACAAGUACCGCAAGGGAAAGAUGAAAAGGACUUUGAAAAGAGAGUCAAAGAGUGCUUGAAAUUAUUGGGAGGGAAGCGGAUAGGGGCCGUCGAUACGCCUCGAUCGGGUGUGGUAUGGUGAGAGUCAGUCCAUCGAUCGGCUCGAGGCAUGAACCAAUGUGGGUUGUGGCGGUGACCCAAGCUUGAGCUAUUGAUACGCAUAUGGAGACGUUAUCGCCUUGAUCGUGGGAUCCAGCACGCACCGUCUCGACGUGCUUAUGCACCUGCGUGCUCUUAGCAUCAGCCUAUGGGCUCCCGAUUCAGCUCGUCUUGAAACAUGAACCAAGGAGUUUGACAUGUGUGUGAGUCAAUGGGCUAGAAAACCCGUAAGGCUUAAGGAAUCUGAUUGGCGAGAUCCCUUGCGGGUACACCGUCGACCGACCUUGAUCUUCUAAGAAGGGUUCGAGUGAGAACAUUCCUGUCAGGACCCGAAAGAUGGCGAACUAUUCCUGAGCGGGGCGAAGCCAGUGGAAACUCUGGUGGAGGCCUGCAGUGAUACUGACGUGCAAAUUGUUCAUCUGACUUUGGUAUAGGGGCGAAAGACUAAUCUAAACAUUUAGUAGCUGGUUCCCUCUUAAGUUUCCCUCAAGAUAGCUGGAGCUCUUAGCGAGUUUUAUAGGGUAAAGCCACUGAUUAGAGGCAUCGGGGGCGCAACGUCCUUGACCUAUUCUCAAACUUUAAAUAGGUAAGAUGGGGUGGUUGCUUCAUUGAGCCAUGCCACGGAAUCGAGAGCUCCAAGUGGGCCACUUUUGGUAAGCAGAAUUGGCGAUGCGAGAUGAAUCAGAAGUCGAGUUACGGUGCCUAACUACGCGCUAACGUAGAACCCACAAAGAGUGUUGGUCGAUUAAGACAGCAAGACGGUGGUCAAGGAAGUCGAAAUCUACUAAAGAGUGUGUAACAACUCACCUGCCGAAUAAACUAGCCCCGAAACUAGAUGGCGCUUAAGCACGCGACCUAUACCCGAUCAUCGGGGCAAGUGUCAGGCCUCGAUGUGUAUGAGGGCAUUGUGAUCAUCAUAAAACUCAAGGCAUGAGCCCGAGCGGAGCGGGCGUCGGUGCUGAUCUUGGUGGUAGUAGCAAAUAUUCAAAUGAGAACUUUGAAGGCCGAAGAGGGGAAAGGUUGCAUGUGAAUGGCACUUGCACAAGGGUUAGUCGAUCCUAAGAGACGGGGGAAGCCCAUCUGAUAGCACGUUUAGUGCUGCGAUCUUCGAAAGGGAAUUGGGUUAAAAUUCUUAAACCAAGACGCGGUGACUGACGGCAACAUUAGAGAGUUCGAAGAUAUCGAUGGAGCCCUGGGAAGAAUUAUCUUUUCUGUUUAAUGGUCUAUCCACCCUGGAAACGGCUUAGCCAGAGGUAAGCUCUAACGGUCGGAAGAGCACCUCACGUCGCAUGGUAUCCGGUACGCCCCCGAUGACCCUUGAAAAUCCAGAGGACUGAGUGUCGUCCGCACCGGGUCAUACUCAUAACCGCAUCAGGUUUCCAAGGUGAACAGCUUCUGGUCAAUGGAACAAUGUAGGAAAGGGAAGUCGGUAAAAUGGAUCCGUAACCUCGGGAAAAGGAUUGGCUCUGAGGGUUAAGCACAAGGGUCCUAGUCUUGAACCCGUAGGCUAUCAGUGCAUUGCUCGAGCUACUCCCACAGUGAGAGCGGAGGAUGGACUGGGAACGACUCCCUUGAAGGCUUUCCCUAGGCGACGAAUAGUCUACUCAGAACUGGUACGGAGAAGGAGAAUUCGACUGUUUAAUUAAAACAAAACAUUUCGAUGGCCCCUGCGGAUGCUCACGCAAUGUGAUUUCAGCCCAGUGCUCUAAAUGUCAAAGUGAAGAAAUUCAACCAAGCGCGGGUAAAUGACAGGUGUAAAUAUGACUCUCUUAAGGUAGCCAAAUGCCUCGUCAUCUAAUUAGUGAUGCGCAUGAAUGGAUUAACGAGAUUCCCACUGUCCUUAUCUACUAUCCAACGAAACCACAACCACGAGAAUGAGCUGGGCAAAAUCAGUAGGGAAGGAAGACCCUGUUGAGCUUGACUCUAGUCUGACUUUGUGAAAUGACUUGAGAGGUGUAGGAUAAGUGGGAGCUCUCGGGCAAAAUUGAAAUACCACUACUUUUAAUGUUAUUUUACUUAUUCCGUGAAUCGAAGGCAGGGCACGACCCCUCUUUUUGGACCCAAGGUCAGCUUCGACCGGUCGAUCCGGGCGAAAGACAUUCUUAGGUGAGGAGUUUGACUGGGGAGGCACAUCUGUUAAAAGAUAACGCAAGUGUCCUAAGAUGAGCUCAACGAGAACAAAAAUCUCAUAUGGAACAAAAGGAUAAAAGCUCGUUUGAUUCUGAUUUUCAGUACGAAUACGAACCGUGAAAGCAUGACCUAUUGAUCCUUUAGACCAUCGAAAUUUGAAGCUAAAGGUGUCAGAAAAGUUACCACAAGGAUAAUUGGCUUGUGGCAGCCAAGUGUUCAUAGUGAUGUUACUUUUUCAUCCUUCGAUGUCGGCUCUUCCUAUCAUUGUGAAGCAGAAUUCACCAAAUGUUGAAUUAUUCACCCACCAAUAGGGAACGUGAGCUGGGUUUAGACUGUCGUGAUACAGGUUAGUUUUACCUACCGAUGGCCGCAUCACAAUAGUAAUUCAAUCUAGUACGAGAGGAACCGUUGAUUCACACAAUUGGUUAUCGCGCUUGUUUGAAAACACAGUGACGCCAAGCUACCGUGCGCUGGAUUAUGACUGAACGCCUCUAAGUCAAAAUCCGAGCUAGAAGCGACACAUGUACCCAUCGCUUGAUUGCCAACCCACAGUAAGGGCCUCUAGCCCAUAAGGGCAUGUGUCGUAAGUGUAGCGACCACGGCGGACAAGUCGCGGUCGCCUCCUUGGAGCGUAAUUCCCAUCGAG